AGCAGCCCGACGGCCAUGGAGGCUGAAGAGACGAUGGAAUGCCUUCAGGAGUUCCCUGAACAUCAUAAAAUGAUCCUCGACCGAUUGAAUGAACAGCGAGAGCAGGACCGGUUUACUGACAUCACCCUAAUUGUCGACGGACACCAUUUUAAGGCUCACAAGGCUGUUUUGGCUGCUUGUAGUAAGUUCUUCUACAAAUUCUUUCAGGAGUUUACCCAAGAACCAUUGGUGGAGAUAGAAGACCCAGGAGAUGAAGAAUUAAUGAAUAAGAUGUCCCUUAAAGAAGUCGGAAAAUUUCAUAACAGGUGUUAGUAAAAUGGCCUUUCGCCAUUUAAUUGAGUUCACAUAUACAGCAAAAUUAAUGAUACAAGGAGAAGAAGAAGCCAAUGAUGUAUGGAAAGCAGCAGAGUUUCUACAAAUGCUAGAAGCUAUCAAAGCCCUUGAAGUCAGGUACUUAAUUUCUUUAAUGGGGUUCAGAUAGUCAUAUUCAGUCAUGUUCAUUCUGUUAGUGAAGAACUUACAGUAUGUGUCAUGCCAUGAAGAACAGAGUUCUUCAGAAGAAUUAAGAAUAUUUAAGGAUCUAUUAAAAAAUUU
rnacentral:lncRNA from 1 species